rnacentral:tRNA from 1 species
GCUGGCGUAGCUCAGAUGGUAGAGCAUCUGAUUUGUAAUCAGAGGGUCGGGGGUUCAAGUCCCUUCGCCAGCUCCA